rnacentral:rRNA from 1 species
AUGGGGUGCUGUACACGUGACCUGCGGAGGGAUCAUUACACAAAUAUGAAGGCGGGCUGGAACCUCUCGGGGUUACAGCCUUGCUGAAUUAUUCACCCUUGUCUUUUGCGUACUUCUUGUUUCCUUGGUGGGUUCGCCCACCACUAGGACAAACAUAAACCUUUUGUAAUUGCAAUCAGCGUCAGUAACAAAUUAAUAAUUACAACUUUCAACAACGGAUCUCUUGGUUCUGGCAUCGAUGAAGAACGCAGCGAAAUGCGAUAAGUAGUGUGAAUUGCAGAAUUCAGUGAAUCAUCGAAUCUUUGAACGCACAUUGCGCCCUUUGGUAUUCCAAAGGGCAUGCCUGUUCGAGCGUCAUUUGUACCCUCAAGCUUUGCUUGGUGUUGGGCGUCUUGUCUCUAGCUUUGCUGGAGACUCGCCUUAAAGUAAUUGGCAGCCGGCCUACUGGUUUCGGAGCGCAGCACAAGUCGCACUCUCUAUCAGCAAAGGUCUAGCAUCCAUUAAGCCUUUUUUUCAACUUUUGACCUCGGAUCAGGUAGGGAUACCCGCUGAACUU